CCUACGGGAGGCUGCAGUGGGGAAUUUUGGACAAUGGGGGAAACCCUGAUCCAGCAAUGCCGCGUGUGUGACGAAGGCCUUCGGGUUGUAAAGCACUUUUGGCGGGAACGAAACGGCGCUUUCUAAUACAGAGCGCUAAUGACGGUACCCGCAGAAUAAGCACCGGCUAACUACGUGCCAGCAGCCGCGGUAAUACGUAGGGUGCAAGCGUUAAUCGGAAUUACUGGGCGUAAAGCGUGCGCAGGCGGUUUCGUAAGACAGAUGUGAAAGCCCCGGGCUCAACCUGGGAAGUGCAUUUGUGACUGCGAGACUAGAGUGUGUCAGAGGGAGGUAGAAUUCCACGUGUAGCAGUGAAAUGCGUAGAGAUGUGGAGGAAUACCGAUGGCGAAGGCAGCCUCCUGGGAUAACACUGACGCUCAUGCACGAAAGCGUGGGGAGCAAACAGGAUUAGAUACCCCUGUAGUC
rnacentral:rRNA from 1 species